rnacentral:rRNA from 1 species
CCUACGGGAGGCAGCAGUGGGGAAUCUUGCGCAAUGGGCGAAAGCCUGACGCAGCGACGCCGCGUGAGGGAGGAAGGCCUUCGGGUUGUAAACCUCUUUCAGGAGGGACGAAGCUACUCGGGUGAAUAGCCCAGAGGGUGACGGUACCUCCAGAAGAAGCCCCGGCUAACUACGUGCCAGCAGCCGCGGUAAUACGUAGGGGGCAAGCGUUGUCCGGAUUUACUGGGCGUAAAGAGCGUGUAGGCGGCCACGCAGGUCCGUUGUGAAAACUGGAGGCUCAACUUCCAGACGUCGACGGAAACCGUGUGGCUAGAGUCCGGAAGAGGAGAGUGGAAUUCCUGGUGUAGCGGUGAAAUGCGCAGAUAUCAGGAAGAACACCAAUGGCGAAGGCAGCUCUCUGGGACGGUACUGACGCUGAGACGCGAAAGCGUGGGGAGCGAACAGGAUUAGAUACCCUGGUAGUCCACGCCGUAAACGAUGGGUGCUAGGUGUGGGAGGUGUCGACUCCUUCCGUGCCGUAGCUAACGCAUUAAGCACCCCGCCUGGGGAGUACGGCCGCAAGGCUAAAACUCAAAGGAAUUGACGG